rnacentral:rRNA from 1 species
GACGAACGCUGGCGGCGUGCUUAACACAUGCAAGUCGAACGGAAAGGCCCUGCUUUUGUGGGGUGCUCGAGUGGCGAACGGGUGAGUAACACGUGAGUAACCUGCCCUUGACUUUGGGAUAACUUCAGGAAACUGGGGCUAAUACCGGAUAGGAGCUCCUGCUGCAUGGUGGGGGUUGGAAAGUUUCGGCGGUUGGGGAUGGACUCGCGGCUUAUCAGCUUGUUGGUGGGGUAGUGGCUUACCAAGGCUUUGACGGGUAGCCGGCCUGAGAGGGUGACCGGCCACAUUGGGACUGAGAUACGGCCCAGACUCCUACGGGAGGCAGCAGUGGGGAAUAUUGCACAAUGGGCGGAAGCCUGAUGCAGCAACGCCGCGUGCGGGGUGACGGCCUUCGGGUUGUAAACCGCUUUCGCCUGUGACGAAGCGUGAGUGACGGUAAUGGGUAAAGAAGCACCGGCUAACUACGUGCCAGCAGCCGCGGUGAUACGUAGGGUGCGAGCGUUGUCCGGAUUUAUUGGGCGUAAAGGGCUCGUAGGUGGUUGAUCGCGUCGGAAGUGUAAUCUUGGGGCUUAACCCUGAGCGUGCUUUCGAUACGGGUUGACUUGAGGAAGGUAGGGGAGAAUGGAAUUCCUGGUGGAGCGGUGGAAUGCGCAGAUAUCAGGAGGAACACCAGUGGCGAAGGCGGUUCUCUGGGCCUUUCCUGACGCUGAGGAGCGAAAGCGUGGGGAGCGAACAGGCUUAGAUACCCUGGUAGUCCACGCUGUAAACGGUGGGUACUAGGUGUGGGGUCCAUUCCACGGGUUCCGUGCCGUAGCUAACGCUUUAAGUACCCCGCCUGGGGAGUACGGCCGCAAGGCUAAAACUCAAAGGAAUUGACGGGGCCCCGCACAAGCGGCGGAGCAUGCGGAUUAAUUCGAUGCAACGCGUAGAACCUUACCUGGGUUUGACAUGGAUCGGGAGUGCUCAGAGAUGGGUGUGCCUCUUUUGGGGUCGGUUCACAGGUGGUGCAUGGCUGUCGUCAGCUCGUGUCGUGAGAUGUUGGGUUAAGUCCCGCAACGAGCGCAACCCUUGUUCACUGUUGCCAGCACGUUAUGGUGGGGACUCAGUGGAGACCGCCGGGGUCAACUCGGAGGAAGGUGGGGAUGACGUCAAGUCAUCAUGCCCCUUAUGUCCAGGGCUUCACGCAUGCUACAAUGGCUGGUACAGAGAGUGGCGAGCCUGUGAGGGUGAGCGAAUCUCGGAAAGCCGGUCUCAGUUCGGAUUGGGGUCUGCAACUCGACCUCAUGAAGUCGGAGUCGCUAGUAAUCGCAGAUCAGCAACGCUGCGGUGAAUAAGUUCCCGGG